GGUCUCUCCUCUCCCUAUACACACCUUAGAGAGUCUUCACAAGGGUGUGAUCGUGGGAAGCCUGGACACACUCAUCAGAAGUUUGUCCUCCUAUCAGGACAUGUCAGAAAUCAGAGAGACCUUGGCAAUCACAGCUCCCACCUCUUCAUUUUACAAAUGAGCAGCUCAGGCUCAGAGCAGAGAAGUGGCUUCCCUAGGGUCACACAGCCAGCUUGUGGCAGAGUCAGGAUUCAAGCACCCUCUCCCGACUUCUUCAUUGCACCAGACGUCGAGAGAACACAGAGAACCUAAAAGAAGAAAGAAAAAAAAAAAUAGAUCUUUUGGGAUUAUCUUGGGCUUCUGGUUUUCAAGGACAAUUUUAUGAUAAGUAGCAAUGAUGCCUCAAAAGCUAUGGUAGCUAGCUUGAAUGAACUUAUGUAAUAAACAUUUAUCACAGAACAUGUGUCAUCAAACACCUGCCAGAUCUGAGCAUUGGCACCAAAGCUGCUUUCAUUGUCAAAGAAAAGAGGGGGAAAAGGAACUUGGCUGAACAAAGCUGGCAGACAUUUAUACUAGAAAAUUCAGAGAUGUCAGGAGCAGUGGAGCACCUGUGGUGGAAGAAGCUGCCUCCCCUGGCUCUAUCACAGGCCACAGACCCGUGCGAAUCACCCAGCCUGCUCUGAGCCGCACACGCGAGGCCACAGCAGUGCACAGGAAAGUGAGAGGAAGUGGAAACGUGCGAGCAGAGGGCUCAAAGUGACGGGCUUACCACCGGAAAAAAAAAUAAAA